CCUACGGGUGGCUGCAGUGAGGAAUAUUGGUCAAUGGGCGAGAGUCUGAACCAGCCAAGUCGCGUGAAGGAUGACUGCCCUAUGGUUUGUAAACUUCUUUUAUAAAGGAAUAAAGUGAGGCACGUGUGCCUUUUUGUAUGUACUUUAUGAAUAAGGAUCGGCUAACUCCGUGCCAGCAGCCGCGGUAAUACGGAGGAUCCGAGCGUUAUCCGGAUUUAUUGGGUUUAAAGGGAGCGUAGAUGGGUUGUUAAGUCAGUUGUGAAAGUUUGCGGCUCAACCGUAAAAUUGCAAUUGAUACUGGCAGUCUUGAGUACAGUUGAGGUAGGCGGAAUUCGUGGUGUAGCGGUGAAAUGCUUAGAUAUCACGAAGAACCCCGAUUGCGAAGGCAGCUUACUAAACUGUGACUGACAUUGAUGCUCGAAAGUGUGGGUAUCAAACAGGAUUAGAUACCCUAGUAGUC
rnacentral:rRNA from 1 species